AAUUCGCCCUUAGAGUUUGAUCCUGGCUCAGGACGAACGCUGGCGGCGUGCUUAACACAUGCAAGUCGAACGGAGUGCUCCGGAAAGAGAUUUCGGUCAAUGGAUGGAGUUACUUAGUGGCGGACGGGUGAGUAACGCGUGGGGAACCUGCCUUUCAGAGGGGGACAACAGUUGGAAACGACUGCUAAUACCGCAUAACGCAUGGGUAUCGCAUGGUAUCUGUGCCAAAGAUUUAUCGCUGAGAGAUGGCCUCGCGUCUGAUUAGCUAGUUGGUGAGGUAACGGCCCACCAAGGCGACGAUCAGUAGCCGGCCUGAGAGGGCGGACGGCCACACUGGGACUGAGACACGGCCCAGACUCCUACGGGAGGCAGCAGUGGGGGAUAUUGCACAAUGGGGGGAACCCUGAUGCAGCGACGCCGCGUGGGUGAAGGAGCGUUUCGGCGCGUAAAGCCCUAUCGGCAGGGAAGAAGGAGGACGGUACCUGACUAAGAAGCCCCGGCUAACUACGUGCCAGCAGCCGCGGUAAUACGUAGGGGGCAAGCGUUAUCCGGAUUUACUGGGUGUAAAGGGGGCGCAGACGGCAGCGCAAGCCAGGAGUGAAAGCCCGGGGCCCAACCCCGGGACUGCUCUUGGAACUGCGCGGCUGGAGUGCAGGAGGGGCAGGCGGAAUUCCUGGUGUAGCGGUGAAAUGCGUAGAUAUCAGGAGGAACACCGGUGGCGAAGGCGGCCUGCUGGACUGCGACUGACGUUGAGGCCCGAAAGCGUGGGGAGCAAAUAGGAUUAGAUACCCUGGUAGUCCACGCCGUAAACGAUGAUUACUAGGUGUCGGGGAGCAGAGACUGCCCGGUGCCGCAGCCAACGCAUUAAGUAAUCCACCUGGGGAGUACGUCCGCAAGGAUGAAACUCAAAGGAAUUGACGGGGGCCCGCACAAGCGGUGGAUUAUGUGGUUUAAUUCGAUGCAACGCGAAGAACCUUACCAGGGCUUGACAUCCUGCUAACGAGGUAGAGAUACGUCAGGUGCCCUUCGGGGAAAGCAGAGACAGGUGGUGCAUGGUUGUCGUCAGCUCGUGUCGUGAGAUGUUGGGUUAAGUCCCGCAACGAGCGCAACCCUUAUUGUUAGUUGCUACGCAAGAGCACUCUAGCGAGACUGCCGUUGACAAAACGGAGGAAGGUGGGGACGACGUCAAAUCAUCAUGCCCCUUAUGUCCUGGGCUACACACGUAAUACAAUGGCGGUAAACAGAGGGAUGCAAAACUGCGAAGUGGAGCGAACCCCUAAAAGCCGUCCCAGUUCAGAUUGCAGUCUGCAACUCGACUGCAUGAAGUCGGAAUCGCUAGUAAUCGCGGAUCAGCAUGCCGCGGUGAAUACGUUCCCGGGCCUUGUACACACCGCCCGUCA
rnacentral:rRNA from 1 species